GGGUAGGUAAGUGAACCGUGUUUUGGUUCACUUGAAACCUGGGGAUCAUUUGACAGAAGAGAGAGAGCACGGUGAAGUUCUUGAGCUGUGCCGGUGCUUGAAGCAACCAUAGAUUGUUCUACACCUGCAAAAUUUGACAAAAAACCUGUAAGCUCGUAACAUCAGUUCCAUCGCUCAUUUAUCAUAUUUCGGAAAGUUUAUUGGCCCGUAAAUACUUAUCCAAGAAUGAAAUCUAGUACAUAACAGGGUAGCACGUUGAGACUUCACCUCAACGGUCUCAACAGCAUCGGUAUUCAAGAAUGAAAGCAAUUUCGUGUUAAAAGUAGCGGUAAAAGAUGGCAACAUUUAUUGACAUUCAAGCAAAUGCAUAUCAUAUACCUUGUUUCCUAGUAGAAAAGCAAAAACAUACCUCCAUCGAGAACCUCAGCCGUGUUUUGCUUACCCUUAGAGGGUAGGAAUUUGUUGAAAUCAUUACAUCGCAUCAUGAUGGGAUUUGACAGCUGAUUGAUUGGAAGUUGCACCUGUUCAUUGAUGUUUCCAAGUUUCAUAGGCAUAUAACUUGUCAUUCGAGAGGACUUGGAGUAGAACGUGCCUUCCAUCGCAAAUUUCUUCUUGGGUCUAACAUUAUGAAGAAUUGGGACUUCAUUCCAGACAAAACUCGUAUGUUGCUUCCCAUCUGCAAAAAGCAUAACUUAUCAAAGCCUUACGUAUUCACAUCCCGAUAUCUAUCAUAUUUACAUGACCACAAGAUGAAGAUGAUGAUUUAGUUAACGAGCAACUCAAGCAGAUAAUUUGAGAGCUAAAAGGAAAGAAACCGAACAGAGUGUCAUGAUGAUCUAUCUAUUCACGUAACAGGAUCAUACAACAAAAAACAAUUAAAGUCAAGUUUAAAAUGGUACC
rnacentral:lncRNA from 1 species